rnacentral:lncRNA from 1 species
UGGCUAAGGGCAUCAAGGGAGGAGGUAGUAUGCAGCUGGGAGCAGAGAGAUAGGGGGUAAUUGUGAUACCCGGCCCAUUUGGGCCUUGGACCAGGCCCAAAAUCUAAGAAGCCCAAAGCCCAUACAAAAAAAAAGAGAACGGAAAGAAGACUCUCGAUGGGAGUCUUUUUCUCCGAUGAAUUUCGGACGGAGAAGAAUUCUAGGACCCUUAGAGCUCUAGGGCCCUCUAUAAAUAAGACUUCCCUCUCCCUCAAGAACCUCCACCGAUGAUCUUCAACCUUGAUUCCUCUUCUUUUUUUCUUAGAAGCUGCGGCACUCUCUUCUUGUAUUCAUCGAAAAUCGGAGGUCGAAGAGGCCAUCGGAGUUCAGAUAAGGGUUUAAUCUUUCUUCCUCUCCUUCUUUUCUUUCUUCUCAUGGUUUUAGACUCUUCAUCGGCCAUCGGGAUCGUCGAAAAUUUCAUGAAUCAUAAAACCUCUAUUCGAUCGAAACUUU